rnacentral:rRNA from 1 species
CCUACGGGUGGCUGCAGUGGGGAAUAUUGGACAAUGGGGGGAACCCUGAUCCAGCCAUGCCGCGUGUGUGAAGAAGGCCCUCGGGUUGUAAAGCACUUUCAGUGAGGAAGAACGCCUGGUGGUUAAUACCCAUCAGGAAAGACAUCACUCACAGAAGAAGCACCGGCUAACUCCGUGCCAGCAGCCGCGGUAAUACGGAGGGUGCGAGCGUUAAUCGGAAUUACUGGGCGUAAAGCGCGCGUAGGUGGCUUGAUAAGCCGGUUGUGAAAGCCCCGGGCUCAACCUGGGAACGGCAUCCGGAACUGUCAAGCUAGAGUGCAGGAGAGGAAGGUAGAAUUCCCGGUGUAGCGGUGAAAUGCGUAGAGAUCGGGAAGAAUACCAGUGGCGAAGGCGGCCUUCUGGACUGACACUGACACUGAGGUGCGAAAGCGUGGGUAGCAAACAGGAUUAGAUACCCGAGUAGUC